rnacentral:lncRNA from 1 species
AUCCGGGUCAGAGUUCCAUGGGCUUGGCGCGAUUUUCAAAUUUCCCCCGGUGGUGCGGCACGUAAUUUUUUCGUCAACAAACGGGUGAUUGUGCCUGCAGACUAGUGGGGAGAAGUGCUCUGGCUGUUGUUGGGAAUGGGGAAGACGAGCCGGUGUGCAGAAAAAGCCAAGCCGUGCUUUUGGUUUUGGGGCCGUUGUCGUGCUGUGAGGCGGUCCGCUGCCGGUCUCGGUCCUUCUCCGGAACCUCUCGGCUGGUGGGAAGUGGUCGUUGCCUCGGGCCGCGCGGCGCCUCCGGGUUGCCGCCCGGCCCCCGUCUUCCGCUCUCUCCUCUUGGUGGCGUUGGGGUCGGCCCUUGGUUUUUUUUCCCCGGGUGGCGUUCCGCUCUGGGUCCUCCAUCGCGUGAGGUUUCCUGGCCGGCUUUCCUGCCCCCACCCCCUCCUUGCCGAUCGCCUUCCCGCGAUGCCUUCCCGUGGUCGGGCUUGUACGGGGGAGCCUUUGAGUUGCCCGUGACCGACGGGCGGUCGGCUCCCGGGUGCCCCGCUCUGCUCUGGGGUGGCGAAGGAGGAGCCUCGUGCCUUCUCUGUGCGCAUCGCUGUGUGGAGAGAGCGAGAGAAAGGGAAAAGUUCCCCGGUUUGGUCGCGUUGGCCGCGGGUCGCGUGUGUGCCGUUGUUCCGAGUUCUCGGCGGGCCGCCCCCCGCCGCGUUCGUGUGGGUCUUUUCCUGCGCCGGGCCCCCGUCCCUCUGUUCUCGAAUCCCCUCCGGUUCUGUUGGCGAAAGGUGUCUUCUCCGCCAGGCGUUGAGCGCGCUCGUGUGGCUCGUGGGGGGGGCUUCGCGCCCUUCCCUCCCCCCCGCGCCUCCGCCCUUGACUGUCGUGCGGCCACCGAUCGCCCGCCGGAGAAGGAAGGGUCAGAGGGGACGUAUUUUGGGCCUGGUCGGGGCCGCUUGACCCCCGCGCGGCGGACCCUUGUGGGUCCCGUUCGCUCCUCGGCGGCGCUGCGUCCUCGAGCGCCCGCGAUCUCGGCUUUCCCGUGUUUGCCUCUCUGCCUUUCCCCGCGUGUGCCGGGGCGGCCUUUUUGCCUUCCUGCCGCUCUCUUGGGCUCGGAGUCGAGGGUGGGCCCGGUUCCGACCGUCCUCGGAGCCGUCUGA